UGUUAAGCAGGAAAAGAAUGAAGAGUUCCAGUUCAAUAAUUUGUGAACACUUUUAAGGCCACUAGCAUGCUUUUUGACAAAUGUGAUUGUACUCUGAAUACAUAUAAAAAUAUUAAAGCGUGUAUCUGAGGGAACACUGAUCUCUUUUUAUCAUCUUCUCAUUGUACAGAUGCGGAAACAGAUGCUCAUAGAAGGGGAGUGAUUUGCCCAGGAUAAGCCAGGUGGUCAGCGGCAGAUCCAGGACCAGAAGCUAAUCUCCUGACUCCUAGUCCAGUGAUAUUUUUACUCCAUCACUUACUAUUCAUGAAACAUGUAAAAAGACAGGGAUGGAAAAGCAAACUGACGCCUGCAUUGAAUGACUUCUUGAAGGUACUGGGGCUACAGAGUGGUGAACUUUGCCAUCAUAGAGAUGACGUUCUCGUAGGGAAUGGAGAUGUAGUGGUGAUUGCUAUGAAGAAAAAUGCAGAAAAGCAGGGUGGUGAGCUUCUUGCAUGUUACCCUUCAUAUACCAGGUCCUUGAAAGAGGGAUGAUGGUGAUGAGGACGAUGACGAUGGUUUCUACCGAGUCAAAAAAUCAAGUUAUAGUUUGAGUUUGACGCACUGAAACUAGACAAGGAGGUCCCAGUUCUUACCUAAUGGAUGUGGAAAAGGUGUCACAUCGAUUGUUUUAUGUCAUUGGGCAAAUGGAAUAAUGUCUGGAAGAAAAAAAAAAAUACGGUAAGCCUCUAUCACAUCUGCAAAGUGUAAACAUCAUAUUAUUUUCUUUCCUUCCAAAUAAAUACUAAAGUUAAUUAGGCAGUCAGGAGUUUGAAAGGAGAAAAAGUAUGAGAAAAAGUAAUGCAACAGAUAAAUAUGGAAUAAUCAUGAGAAAAUGUAAUUUUAAAUAUUGUCUGAGGAAGCCAGGCCCAUAAAGGAUAUUAAGAACAGCUUGAGUAGAGCUGGAUGUCUAAGAAUGGACACGAUCACUGAAAUGUGGAAGAAAUGGGAAGAAAAAACAGAAUUUAAGAUGAGCUUCCCAAUGUCAUGUCCGAUUAGUGCUGCUGACUCAUCUAGUUGGGCCCUGAAGAAUUUUCAAAAUGGUAAUGGCGCUUUCCCAGGAAGAGUAUACGAUGUAGCGGAAAGAUGGGCUUUUGUGUCAGACAGACUGGAACAUGAACCUUCACUCAACUACUCCUAGUAGUGUGACUUUGAGUAGGUUACUUACAUUUUCUCAUCCUGUUUCCUCAUCUGUUGAAGAGUUGCUAAUGCCUCCUCAGGAUUGUGUGAGGACUAUUUGAAAUAGCAUAUGCCCAACCUUUAGCACUAUACCUGGCACACAGUAAUGCCCACUCACAAAUACCAGCUGUCCCUUCUGAGUUCAUAAAGUGGUUGUCCAUUGUGACACACUUUCUAGAGAUGAAAGAUUAUGAGACAGAAAU
rnacentral:lncRNA from 1 species